rnacentral:tRNA from 1 species
GGGUUGGGGCUCAGUGGUAGAGAGCUCGUCUUGCACCCGUGAGACCCUGGGUUCAAUCCUCAGCAUCACA